rnacentral:rRNA from 1 species
UACGGGGGGGGCAAGCGUUGUUCGGAAUUACUGGGCGUAAAGGGCUCGUAGGCGGCCAACUAAGUCAGACGUGAAAUCCCUCGGCUUAACCGGGGAACUGCAUCUGAUACUGGAUGGCUUGAGUUCGGGAGAGGGAUGCGGAAUUCCAGGUGUAGCGGUGAAAUGCGUAGAUAUCUGGAGGAACACCGGUGGCGAAGGCGGCAUCCUGGACCGACACUGACGCUGAGGAGCGAAAGCCGGGGGAGCAAAGCAGG